GGAUAAUGUGGCAUUGAUGAACUUGUUGACCAUUUGUUCUCGGUAUCCGUUGUGUUGGGGUUUACAAGGUUCUACAAACUGAAACAAGGUUCUACAAACUGAAACAAGGGUCUCAACUCUAUAUAAAAGUGCAAACUGCAGUUUAACAUGUCAAUGACUCAAUGUGGGGACUAAGGUCUGAAUAUAUCACCGUUACACCGUAAGGCGACAUAAAAAAAAUUAGUUGGUGAUCGUCCCCGCCCACCAGCCCAGAAAAAUCUAUACGACCAGAAUGUUUUUUUAUUCUUCAUUUUCAAAAUUUACCCUCUUAGGCCUACAAUGUUUAGAUGGUGAAAGUGUCAAAAUGUUGCUAGACUACGAAAUUCCUAAGCUAGCGUGAUCCGUGGCGCCAUCGUGGACAUGCCGUAAACAAUAUCACGCAUGCGCUGUUCCUCACAUAGUUUACAACACAUUUUCAUUUAGAUGUUUUCCAAGCUGUAUUGGUGGGCAAUAUUGAGUGACGAUGAUCGACAAUCGUUCGUCAAAGUGAUUGUAGGCAAAUCUAAAAGUGAACUGACUAAAGUUUCAUCGGCCUCGAUGAUAUCAGAUGUUAUUCUUCACCUUGGGUCGUUUAUCAAAUACUUUAUUUUGCCAGCAAAACAAUCUGUCAAUGACGUCAAACCAUACAACGAAUGGUCAAAUGCGUUCAAUAUUCUCAUGGCUUCUGCCGUUGAAAAGUCGAAGCCGUCCAGUCUACCACCUCGUUUCGACGAAAAUCAUCACCAAGGAAAAAAAUGACAUUCUGAAAUGGUUGGAAAAAAACUGUUUGGGUUGGUCACAAGAUUCUGUAAAUUCACUUGAGUUACCAUUUGUAAAUGCACUGGCCAGUGCUAUUUGGUACAUAGAUAGAAACCAUGAGACACUGAAAAAAAAGAGGAUGUGUAGUUCCAGUUGCCAUACAACAUUUCUCUGGCUACAGAUUUCCCUGAGAGGCAGAAAAAGAGAACGUUGAAUGAAUCGAUUCUUCAAAAUGACCAGAUCAAGGCUCACAGUUCUGCUCUCUUCAAUUUGGCAAUGGUUUCUUAUCUCAAGAAGGAUGCUUGGAAGUCUGUCCAUUCUGCUGUCCUGGGACUGGCUGCAUGUCUACGAAAAUAUAGCAGCUACCUGACUAGUCAUGCGAAAAAGGUAAAGGAAGACCAUGCUAGAUUAUUCAUAAAUGAAAAAGAACAUUUCAAGGUACUUCACAAGUCCAACAUGAUUAAUCAAACUGUUUCUGCGCGAUACAAUAGUUUACAUAGUGCGCUUUUAAAAGUCAUGGAGGGUGAACCAAUUUGUGUGAAUGACUUUACAAAUUUGUACACGAAAUGCAGGUUCCUACAAACUUUCAUUUUUUAUGGAGAGUAUCAGAAUUCAGUGAACAGGAUGAAUUGAUAAACGAAGCCACAACCAUAUCAAAGGAAAUUAUAAGAGAGCUCCCUGAGUACUAUAGCAGGGCACUCAGAAACGAGAUCAUACAGUGCUUUGGACAGGCUACAAAUUACAAAGCAGCUUUCCUUCGUGAAACAUACCAUAGACUUACUGGUGAUUGUUCUUCACCUGAAACAACUAGACAAUCAGAGGUUGAUGAUCGAAUAAAUAAAAUUCUAGACGAGGAGGAUCUAGACCGGGAGCCCAGGGGGGUCAACCUAGCUGAAAAGUGUACCAAUUUUCUCCUAUAUGGUAUCAAUGUAUGUAUAUCUGGUAUCAUCAGAAUGUAAGUCUGCCGGGUUUCUGGUGGUGGGUGGGGUAUUACACGCCCUACAUGCCAUGAUCCCCAACUAGGCUAGAUUAGCUCAAAAGUGUACCACACGAAAAUCUUACUGCAGUGUAACAUACAUCUUCGGGUAUUACAAAAACACUCUGACAGACAUUUCUAGUGGUGGGGUACCCCUGACAGAGCUAUGUAAUUGCCAGACAUUUGUAGUGGUGGAGUAUCCCUUACAAGAGUUAUCUAAUAUUUAGACCAAAGCUGUUUUAGGUGGUACAGAUUUGAGCUAAUCUAGCCUAGCUUUGGUCUGGAAAUUAGAUAACUCUUCAAGAUUCAAGCACGCCAGUUCCGAGCACAACAUUUAGAUGCCCAUUAUGUCUCGGCUCUUUUCAGAUAUGAAAAAUAAUUUGCGGUGAAAUUCAGAGGCCAUGUAUCAUUUGUAAGUCUCGAUGAUAAACACACUAUCAAGAUAGGCGAACCUGGCUGUCCAGUUGCUUCGGUUGAAAGAGGAAAAAGUGUCAUAGUGUCCAUGGGAAAGAAAUUUGUUGUGUCUGAUCAUGACUUCACUCAUCUGAGCCUCACCCCUAGUGUGUCUUGGGUGAUUGACAUCCCAGAAACAAUUGAAGAAAGUUUUCACAGGGGCAGAGUAUUUGUAGUUUUGAAAGAAAAUGCUUUCCAGCCAUCAUCCCCUAUCCGUCACAUGACUGAACUGAAACAACUGUUAACUCAAAUCGGACUGGUCAAGCCCAUUCUGUCUAUGUACACUGAUGGCGGACCAGACCACCGUCUCACAUAUCUCUCAGUCCAACUGUCACUUUUGGCUAUCUCCUUGGACUUGGAUUUGAACUUUCUAUGUGCUGUCCGAACGCUACCACAACACAGCUGGAAAAAUCCAGUUGAGAGAAUUAUGAGUGUCCUCAAUCUCGCGCUACAGGGUGUUGGCAGUAUGCGUGAAGAGGUUGAACAUGAACAGGAGCUGAAACAUUGCAAUACACUCAAGUCUAUUGGAGAGCUUGCAACCAAGGUACCAGAAAUUAAAGAUGAAGUUAUUGGUAGUGUCCGUGCCAAUCGAAAUUUGAUGAACUCUAUGAUACAAAGACUAAAAUUGAAAGACCACAGUUUUAAAACUGAGGACCCAGGAAAUGACUUCUCUAUGGGAAAAUGUGUUACAGAUUGAUGAUUCAUUGAGUGUUAAUGAUCGCACCAAGCAACACAUCAGAGGCAAAGACAAAUUCAGGGCCUUUCUUGAGAGUCACUGUAAAGUAUGUCAGCACAUGUUCAGCAUUCUGAAAUGUAAUGAACUUACCUGCUAUGUUUGUAAACUUCCUCGUUUGCCACCAGAUGUCUUCUAGGAGAUUCGCCACUUACCUGAUCCUACACCAGAUGGUAGAAGAUACAAACAAUUUGAUGAAUUGUAUGGAAAGGUAGAAACGACAGAACAGAACCUUCCUUCGGCCAGUUCUGCUAUAGAGAAAGGACAUAAAUGUCCCUUCAAUCCAACAUCCCAAACUGCCAAGAAUGUUGGAACAGUCAUUCAGUGUCAGGACUGCGGAAAAUGGCGUUUCCACUCACAGCAAAAGUUACC